UUCUUCUUCGCAGGAAUGGAGACUGCUCUGAAAAUGUACUUGUAUCUGAUGCUGUUAGUGUUCAUCUGUGACGGGUUCCAUGUCCAUGGUCCACCUGGUCCUCUCAUUGUUCAGCUGGGAGACUCAGUGAUGCUGCCCUGCUUUGUAGAAACUUCUGUACCACUGGAAGAUCUGGAAGUGGAGUGGAAAAGAAGUGACAGUGAAACUCUAGUGCACUUGUGGCAGGAUGGAGAGAGUCGACCAGAGUCUCAGAACCAGCUUUAUCAUGAAAGAGCUCAUUUUUUUCCUAAGGAGAUCACUCAUGGAAACUUCUCCCUCCUCCUUACAGAUGUGACUAAUAAAGAUGCAGGAGUUUAUAAGUGUGCUGUUUACACAAAGCUGGAUUCUGGUGAAACUCUGAUUGAAAUAAAGGAGAUUGAGCGUUUGAUUGUGUCUGGAGCCCAUGUUAUAUCUGUGUAUGUGGGUGAAGAUAUCACUCUGAAUUGCUCUGUAGACUCGUAUGUCCCACCAGAAAAUAUAGAAGAGGUGUCAUGGAAGAAAAUGGAUGAAGAUAUCUUAGUGCUGCUUUAUCAAGAGGGUCAGAUCCUGAUAGAGUUGACUGGUGAGAGAUACAUGGGCAGAGUAGAAUUCUUCAGUGCUGAAGACAGAAACAAAGGAAACUUCUCUAUGAGACUGAAGAAUGUCCAAACGGAGGACAAAGGGCUGUAUAUGUGUUUAGCGUUCUCUGGGGCAUUAUCAGCUAACACAACUGUGGAGGUACAGCAGCUGGGUCUUUCCUAUCUGCAUUUUGCAAUUAUCAUUUUGUGUAUACUUGGAUUUGUAAUCGGAUCACUUGUACUAGGCUACCUAUCUUACACAUGUUAUAAAAAGAAAGAUGACAGCAGAAGAGCUGUAGCUAUACAGUGUGCACAUGUCCUUUGUCCUAACAUUACUAUGUCCAUUGUCUUCAUCCUCUGGGGUGUCACUGAUGGUAUUUUUAUUGAAGCAGCAACUUGUUCAGCCCUCAAUUUUGCUCGGAUCCUUUUCCUAUUUUGGAUUGGUCUUCAUUUGAAAUCAAUUCAAGAAACUCCACAGCGAUUAACUGUCAACUUGGCAAUUCUACUACAGUACAUUGUGGUGACUAUUUUUGCUUAUUCUUCUAUUUUUCUGAAUAUUGUGUAUAAUUUAACCACUGAAGCGAAAGUAGCUCUGAUAAUCUUGCUCCUGGUGAUACUUAUUCCUAUUCUGGGUAUUAUCGCUGCAGUAUGGCGUAAAAGGACUAGAACACUAAUAAUUUACAGAAUUACAUUGCUCUGCGAUAUUCUACGAAUAACUGUUUUUUCAAUGGUAAUUCAAAGAGGUGCGAUUGAGUUAUUAGUUCCACUCUUCACUGUGCUUUGGGUUUAUUUGGAUGAUUUUCUUUAUUAUUUUUUCAGUUCGAGGGAUUUACGCCAGAUAUCAUUGAUGUUGCUCCUGGAGGUUCUAAAGACUUCAGGGUCGAUCUACAUCCAUUAUUAUCUGAAUAUUGAUGUGAAAGAACGUGAUGCAUUGGUCUGUGUGACUGUAUUCCUCCAAAUCUUGUCCAAGAUUACGCUGUUUACGCAUAUAAACUAUGUCACAGAUAAAAGAUAUGACUCCAGAGACCCUGAGACACAUCACUCUUUACCCCAUUUGGUUGUGUUCAUGUUUGGUACAGUGGGGGUUGUUCUUGUGAACACUGUUGUGUUAUUAGUAGAGCUGAUCCUAAAAGCACGAAAUGGUGAGCGGACAGUGGAUCUGCGACUUAUUCUCCUACCCACUGAAAGUGUCUUUGCUGUGUGCUACCUUACUUUACAAAUAUCUACUUUCUGGAAGAAGAACAGAGAAAGAUUAGCAAAUGGCAUAAAGAAGCUGCGACAGUCGUGUGUGUGUAAAAAGACUCAGAGGGAUUCCACAACAUGAACUGGCGAAUCUGGCUCCUGAUCCUCAGCCCUCAGGGUCUUAGCAGCAACUUCUGGAAACAACUCAGCUCAGAUUAAGCUGCUGGACAGAUGAUCUCACAUAUGUUUCAAGAAUAUUCUGGUAAUAAAAUGGACUUUAUCAACUGUCUCACUGACUGCAUGAUUCCCAGGUCCUAUAGCUCAACAAGCCCACAUCAUCAUUCCUACACCACCAUGCUUCACAGUUGGUUUAAUCUGCUUAAUAUGUUGCUUUCGGUUUUUCUUUAUAUGUCUGAACAUUAAGCGGUGUGAGAUUGGACUGAAUUUGCUGAGAUGCUCACUCCUCAUAAAUACAGAGCAGCUGUAUCUCCCCAUAUGUAUGUAAACAGUCCUUCACACUGUAAAAUGAUGAGUCCUGGCUGAUGUCCUUUCUUCUUGACAUGAUGUAGACACUCACACGAGUGAUCCUGUACACCAAACUGCCCAAAGUUCUGCUUUUACAGACAUAGUCACACUUCAUGAUGAUGAACUAAUUUGGUUUAUUUCAUUAGUAACCUGGCUGCUAAUUCCUCUCUUAUUAAUGGUGGCGGAAGGAAAGGUGUAUUUAUUUUUAGGGGAAAAAAAAAUGAGUAUCUGAGGUUAUUAGUUUCUUUAUAGAAGUUAGUGAGAACCACACAGUUAUUAUUUAGGUCCUGAUAAAUAAAAAUAUAGAUUUUUUUUCCCCCUGAGACUGUAAGUAACUGAAUGCACUAGUUUAAUUGUGUCAAAGAUUUAUUUUAAAGAUGCCUGUAAUGUGUUAUAUUUUUAUAUCUUAUUUUUAUAUUUGUAUUUUUUUUUUUUACAAUCCUUCAUGUGAUACUUAAAUGUGAAUCUCUUAUAUUCAUGUUUGCUUCUGCUAUAUAAUUGUUUUUAUUAUUUAAUUGUCAGGUAUUAUGACUAGAUUUUUUUACUAAAUUGCCUAUUUUAAGACAUUUUGUAGGAUUAAAAUUAGGAUUUAAACUCAGUCUGGCAUUAAAAACAUUUAUUGUAUUGUUUAAUCAUCUGCCAAAUUCACCUGUGUUUAUGACACAGUAGUCUGUUAUCAGAAAUCUGUGUAUAAAUCUCCAGGGAUUUCUAUUCAUUUAUUGCAUCUUUGGGAGCUCAGAGUUUAUUAUUUAUAUACAGAACAAAUCAGAUUACAUGCUAUGUAAAUAUUUAAUGUAAGAGUCAUGCAGGAACGGUACAAAAAGUAAAAAAAAAAAAAAAUUCUAUAAUUGUGUAUAACGUUCAGUACAGGAACACAGGAAAUGUCACUGUAUACUUUUAUACACUGUAAACUACUCAGGUGUGUGUCAAUGAAUAUCAAUGCUGAAUUGAUAGCAGCAGCAUCUGAUCAGAUUGUGUUUUUGGUUGUUCUGCAUUUCAAAAAAAUUUAAAAAAAGGAGCAGGAAUCAUGAUGUGCUGUGUCUUAAAACACUGAUUUUUUAUAUGUAAAAUGUGGCUUAUGUAAAUAUCAGUAUUUUUUCACUUUCUACAUGAAUUAAAUUGUGAGUACAGAACAGUAUUCAGUAUAACAGAAAUACAGUGUUAUAUGUUGCUUGUUUUACUUUUUUAUUGUUUCCAAAUCUCAUGUACUGGUUCUAUAAUAUAUUCAGCCAUGUGAACACAGUGCUUCCAGG